UACAGAGGUCUCAAGCGUUGUUCGGAUUCAUUGGGCGUAAAGGGUGCGUAGGUGGGCCUGUAAGUCAGUGGUGAAAUCUUCAAGCUUAACUUGGAAACUGCCAUUGAUACUAUAGGUCUUGAAUUAUCUGGAGGUAAGCGGAAUAUGUCAUGUAGCGGUGAAAUGCUUAGAGAUGACAUAGAACACCCAUUGCGAAGGCAGCUUACUACGGAUUGAUUGACACUGAGGCACGAAAGCGUGGGGAUCAAACAGG
rnacentral:rRNA from 1 species